rnacentral:rRNA from 1 species
GACAGAGGGUGCAACCGUUGUUCGGAAUUACUGGGCGUAAAGCGCGUGUAGGCGGCCCUGCAAGUCGGGUGUGAAAUCCCACGGCUCAACCGUGGAAGUGCAUUCGAAACUGCAGGGCUAGAGUCCUGGAGAGGAAGGUGGAAUGCUUGGUGUAGAGGUGAAAUUCGUAGAUAUCAAGCGGAACACCGGUGGCGAAGGCGGCCUUCUGGACAGUGACUGACGCUGAGACGCGAAAGCGUGGGGAGCAAACAGG